rnacentral:precursor_RNA from 1 species
GGCUCGGCGCCUGCGGCUCAAGCGACUAGGGCGCCAGCCAC